GCUUCCUUGGCUCAGUUGGCUAGAGCGCCAGUCUCAUACUUAUGAGUGAGCCUUGCUCAUGUAAUCUGGAGGUCGCAAGUUCGAGCCUUGCAGGGAGCA